CAUUAUACUAAUGGACUGCCCUGCUCUUAACAAUACUAGACAACGCUUUUAGUCAGAAAAUACGUAUUUAAGUAUUCCGAAAUGUCUGACCAGGAAAAAUCCUGGUGUUCUAAUUGAAUAUUAAAGUGAAGGAUCUCUUGUUGAUGCUGCUGAAAUGUCGUAAGAUUUUAUUGUUGUAAUGCUGUAAGAAUGACUGGAAUGCCCUGCUUUACCUCCCUUGAUCUUGCUAUGAAAAUAGCCACUGAUGCUGGCAUGCAAUUAAAAGAACAAUAAAUAAAUUCUGAAGGUCCGAUCAGGACAUUUACUUAUGUAAAGAAUACAAGAACUUGGAAGUGCAGUUAUGGCUGAAAAAUGAGGUCGUAAAUUCAGCGUCAACUCGUCCGUCGUGGCAAGUGGAGCAGAGCCCAACCGGUUGUGGGGGAGCCUGGAGCCUGUUCCAGGGAACUCUGGGCACAAGGCAGGGGCCACAGUGGACAGCGUGCCAACCCACCGCAGGGCACCAUCUCUCUCACUCGCACAUUCAUGAUGGACAAUUUGGAAGUGGGAAUCAGCCUGGAAAGCAUGUCUUUGGACUAGGGGAAGGGACGCUGGGGUACCUGGAGGAACUCCUCGAAACAUGUGGAGAACAUGUAAACUCUGCUCACACACGGCGGAGGCGGGAUUUGAACCCCCACCCCGGAGGUGUAAGGAAGACGUGGUAACCACUAAGGCACUGUGCCCCCCUUCACAAAUCUAUACGUUUAAAAUAUUAAAAAGAAAUAUUAAUUUAC